rnacentral:rRNA from 1 species
ACUCAAAGGAAUAGACGGGGGCCCGCACAAGCAGUGGAUUAUGUGGUUUAAUUCGAAGCAACGCGAAGAACCUUACCAGGGCUUGACAUGAGGCUAACGAGGUAGAGAUACGUCAGGUGCCCUUCGGGGAAAGCCUACACAGGUGGUGCAUGGUUGUCGUCAGCUCGUGUCGUGAGAUGUUGGGUUAAGUCCCGCAACGAGCGCAACCCCUAUUGUUAGUUGCUACGCGAGAGCACUCUAGCGAGACUGCCGUUGACAAAACGGAGGAAGGCGGGGACGACGUCAAAUCAUCAUGCCCCUUAUGUCCUGGGCUACACACGUAAUACAAUGGCGCAAAACAGAGGGAAGCGAGACCGCGAGGUGGAGCAAAUCCCGAAAAGGCGUCUCAGUUCGGAUCGCAGGCUGCAACUCGCCUGCGUGAAGUCGGAAUUGCUAGUAAUCGCGGAUCAUCAUGCCGCGGUGAAUACGUUCCCGGGCCUUGUACACACCGCCCGU